UGACAUACACUGCGAUGGUUCCAGAGAUGGGCCAGCCUUCGGGGUGGUGUACAGGUGGUGCAUGGUUGUCGUCAGCUCGUGUCGUGAGAUGUUGGGUUAAGUCCCGCAACGAGCGCAACCCUUGCCUCAUGUUGCCAGCGGUUCGGCCGGGGACUCGUGAGGGACUGCCGGGGUUAACUCGGAGGAGGGUGGGGAUGACGUCAAAUCAUCAUGCCCCUUAUGUCUUGGGCUUCACGCAUGCUACAAUGGCCAGUACAGAGGGUUGCGAUACCGUGAGGUGGGGCUAAUCUCUUAAAGCUGGUCUCGGUUCGGAUUGGGGUCUGCAACUCGACCCCAUGAAGUUGGAGUCGCUAGUAAUCGCAGAUCAGA
rnacentral:rRNA from 1 species